GUGGGGAAUAUUGCGCAAUGGGCGAAAGCCUGACGCAGCGACGCCGCGUGGGUGAUGAAGGCCUUCGGGUCGUAAAGCCCUGUCGGGAGGGACGAAACCUUGGCGACCUAAUACGUCGUCGACCUGACGGUACCUCCGAAGGAAGCACCGGCUAACUCCGUGCCAGCAGCCGCGGUAAUACGGAGGGUGCGAGCGUUGUUCGGAAUCACUGGGCGUAAAGCGCGUGUAGGCGGCCUUGUAAGUCUGGUGUGAAAGCCCGGGGCUUACCCCCGGAAGUGCACUGGAAACUGCAAGGCUAGAGUACCGGAGAGGAAGGUGGAAUUCCUGGUGUAGCGGUGAAAUGCGUAGAUAUCAGGAGGAACACCGGUGGCGAAGGCGGCCUUCUGGACGGAUACUGACGCUGAGACGCGAAAGCGUGGGGAGCAAACAGGAUUAGAAACCCCGGUAGUCC
rnacentral:rRNA from 1 species